rnacentral:rRNA from 1 species
AUCAUUAAGCGGGGGAAAAGAAACUAACUAGGAUUCCUUUAGUAACGGCGAGUGAACAAGGAAAAGCUCAAAUUGAAAAUCGGUAUUUAUAUCGAAUUGUAGUCUUAAGGAGCAUAUCCUGCAAAAUGGUUGGUUUGUGUCCUUUGGAAUAAGGCAGUAGUGAAGGUGAUAAUCCUGACUAGAUUAACCAAUUUUGCUUCCGGAAUGCUUUCUCGAGUCGCGAUCCUUGUGACUGGACCGCAAAGUAGGUGAUAAAUUUCAUCUAAAGCUAAAUACUAACGAGAUACCGAUAGCAUACAAGUACCGUGAGGGAAAGAUGAAAAGGACUUUGAGAAGAGAGUUAAAAGGAACUGAAACCGCUGGAAAGUAAGUGAAAGCUUUGUAGUGCUUAGUGAAUGAGUUGCCGUUUCGGUAGCCCACUCUCGGUAGCGUUGGAGAUGUCUUGAUGACUGUAGUCGUUUUGUUAGUGGUAGAUUCUACUGCUAUCAUCAAUAUUAUGUCAUCGGGGCAAACAAAUCAUUGAUUUCUCCAGAUGUACAAUGUUUUCGUCCCGUCUUGAAACACGGACCAAGGAGUUCAAUUUGAAUGCGAGUGCAAAGGUGGAAAACCUAGUCGCGAAAUGAAAGUAAUGUUGAUAAGAAUUCAUUCUGAAUCAACGUCCGACUACCAAGUUGAGAUUUAGCAUUCAAACUGAGACCCGAAAGAUGGUGAACUAUGCCUGAGUGAAGUGAAGCCAGAGGAAACUCUGGUGGAAGCUUAAAACGAUACUGACGUGCAAAUCGUUCGUCAAACUUGGGUAUAGGGGCGAAAGACUAAUCGAACCAUCUAGUAGCUGGUUCCCUCCGAAGUUUCCCUCAGGAUAGCUGAAGUUAAUUAGUUGCGUGUGGUAAAGCGAAUGAUUAGAGGAAUUGGGGUUUUUCAAAUCUCGACCUAUUCUCAAACUUUGAAUCUGCGCGGUUCAGAAGUUACUUCAUUGAACUUCUGUCUGAAUAGUAACUUCAAGUGGGCCAUUUUUGGUAAGCAGAACUGGCGAUGAGGGAUGAACCUUACGUUGAGUUAAGGUGCUAAAAUUCCACUCAUAAGACAC